rnacentral:lncRNA from 1 species
CUAAAACCAAUAUAAGAAAUCUGGGUCUGAUAAAAUUAGUGGCAGAGAGCCAUAAGAGGCUCUUGAACGUGGAGGUGACAUGUGAAAUUGUCCGAGGAAGAUUCAUCUCCCUGCUGUGUGUGAACUAAUAUGGAAAAGUCCGUGGCAGAGUCCAGGUUAAAGGUGCAGCUGUGGAGAUGGAGUGGAGAUGGGCCUGUCAGCAGCACUCCUCCAAGGCUAGGCAAUAGUAACAGCCAAGAUUCACUGAGUGCUUACCAUGUGCCAGUCAAAGGACCGAGAGCUUGUUAUAUGAAUCAACAGGUUCAAACCUCAAUAGAACGGUGUGAGAAGUCAAAUCUUGCUCCAGAUCAUGCAGUUGUAAGGGAGGAACUGGCAUUGAACACAGGCACUCUGGCUCCAAAGCCACUAUGCAGGACUGCCUCCCUGAAGUCAAAGACCAAGGGAAACUACCUGAGUACAGGGGCUGAAGGCAUGACCAAUAUGCCUAGAUUCAAGCCCCUGGAUUGCAUCCUGUCUCUGGCAUUUAGCAUGUAUUCUUGAAUGAUCCACUUAAAAUUCUAUCCCUCCUUUUCCUCAUUCAUAAUCAUGGGGAUUAUAAAUAAUAUUAUAACCCUUAUAGGGUUGCUAUAAGGUUUAAAUGUGGUCUAGUGUGUAUAGUGGUUGGCCAGUGCCUGACACACCGUGAGAGUUCACUAAAUGCUAACUACCAAUACACUCAUUAUUCUCAUCCUGUCUUAGAACAUCAAGCCCCGGCAGGCUAAUACUGUAACUGCCAGACCAUGGAGAAGGGGACGUUUGGGUUAAGAUUAUUUACCACCCCAAAUUCUUCUGUUCUUGAGUUACAGAAGAUUUGGGAUGGGUAGAAUUACAGUGAGGGAAAAGAUGAGAAUCUGGGGGUAGUUCCUAAGAGAAGAAUGAAAUAAAGAGCUUGAAGAAAAAAUGUUAGAAGUGAAGGAACCUGAGACUUUGGUUAAUGUAGAACCCCUUGGGUUGAGGGCAAGGAAGACUGGGACUGCCAUUUUAUUAAUAAUUUACAUCUUGAGCAUGAAUUCAACUUCCCUUUUGGUUUCCUCUUUUUCAUCCUCACUAUUAAUAGACUAUGCACAGAUUGAGAAGUAAUCUAUGUUGCAACACUUCCUUGGAACUGUAUUACUUAAAAUGGAGUCAUUUGAAGGACUUUGCUUUAAAGAAUACAAAAAUACCAGUUGCAUGAUAGGUGGUUGUCAUCAUUCAUAGGUCAGCGGGAUGUUAAUCCACUGACA